AUAAGGGUUCCCCACAAACCCUAGUUCAUGCAGCUUUCCCUCAAAUUGAAGGUUCUAAUCAUCUCUAAAUCAAUUUUCAAGCACAAAUUCAUGAUCACCUCGUUGAAGGGAUCAUAAGGCAAAGGAAUUGAAUCUUCAAGCGGAAGAGCCGGAGUUGAUGCGCGCUUGAAGGAAAAGCACUAAAGGUAAUGAUGGGGUCUUUCCGGAUGGCGAUCAAGCAUGUUUUGAAGAACCGAACACACACUUUUGAAGCUUCCGCGUUAAUUUAACUUUGUUAGACAAUGUUGUGAUGUAAACAAUUUACUUAACGUGUUUUUAAAUGUUUAAACUAGUUUAGUAAUU